rnacentral:rRNA from 1 species
UUCCCUCUCCCUCUCAGGGUGAUACGAUGGGGGAGGUGAUUCAGGGGUGCUGUGUUUCCCCCCUACUCCACGAUCACUCAUGUGUUCCGAGAACCAGUGGUGUUACCUCUGUGUAUAUCGUCCGCGCGUGGUGUAGCGAGCGUGUCCCCCAAUACUGCGCGCCGCGAGGGUGAGCCGAGACCAGUCAAUUGUAUUUCCCCCCACGCGGGGCUGUUUUAUGCUAUGAGCAUCUCUCGACGCCUACCCUCGGGGUUUUUAAAAUGAAUGAAAAGACUCUACAACGGGCAUGUCCGCUCGGGUAUUGGCGAGGACAGCAGGCAAACACGGUAAGUAAGGUGAAUUGCAGAAUUCAGUGAAUCAUUGAAUUUUUGAAUGCACAUUGUUCCCGCCAGUAUUCUGGCGGGCAUGCCUGUCCGAGGGUCAUUUCAACCCUCGAACCCCUCCGGGGGGUGGGCGUUGGGGAUCGGCCCUGCCUUGGCGGUGGCCGUCUCCGAAAUACAGUGGCGGUCUCGCCGCAGCCUCUCCUGCGCAGUAGUUUGCACACUCGCAUCGGGAGCGCGGCGCGUCCACAGCCGUUAAACACCCAACUUCUGAAAUGUUGACCUCGGAUCAGGUAGCAAUACG